rnacentral:rRNA from 1 species
AUUGAACGCUGGCGGCAUGCCUUACACAUGCAAGUCGAACGGUAACAGGUCUUCGGAUGCUGACGAGUGGCGAACGGGUGAGUAAUACAUCGGAACGUGCCUAGUAGUGGGGGAUAACUACUCGAAAGAGUGGCUAAUACCGCAUGAGAUCUACGGAUGAAAGCAGGGGAUCGCAAGACCUUGUGCUACUAGAGCGGCCGAUGGCAGAUUAGGUAGUUGGUGGGAUAAAAGCUUACCAAGCCGACGAUCUGUAGCUGGUCUGAGAGGACGAUCAGCCACACUGGGACUGAGACACGGCCCAGACUCCUACGGGAGGCAGCAGUGGGGAAUUUUGGACAAUGGGCGCAAGCCUAAUCCAGCAAUGCCGCGUGCAGGAUGAAGGCCUUCGGGUUGUAAACUGCUUUUGUACGGAACGAGAAGCCCCGGGCUAAUACCCUGGGGUCAUGACGGUACCGUAAGAAUAAGCACCGGCUAACUACGUGCCAGCCGCCGCGGUAA